UGGUUGCAGGAGUAAAACGAAAGGAAAGGUGGCGGGAGAGAAGAAAAGAAACAGAACAACACUCAUCUCUUGCGGCCACCCAAUAAGAUCGGAAGUAACUGAUAAAUAAAACAAAGCCCAUUAGUUUUUCUUUCACGAGAAACUUGCCGAACCCUCACAAUCCCAAUUACCCUUUCCCUCUCUCUCUCUCUCUCUCGUGCCCUGCGUUGCAUCGCGACUCAUCACAUCACACUUCUCACUCUCUCAUUCAUCCUCUUCAAUUCAAUCACAACCACCAUGAAGGACAAAGAAAAGGAAAAGGAAAAGGAAAAGGAAAAGGAAAUGGAGAAGAAGAAGUACCCCAUUGGUUCUGACCAUUACACACUCUACGAAGAGAUUGGCCAAGGUGUCAGCGCUUCCGUCCACCGCGCUCUCUGCGUCCCCUUCAACGAGGUCGUCGCCAUCAAAAUCCUCGACUUCGAACGUGACAAUUGCGAUCUGAACAACGUUUCACGUGAAGCUCAAACAAUGGUUCUGGUGGACCACCCUAACGUGUUGAAAUCGCACUGCUCCUUCGUCAGCGACCACAGCUUAUGGGUGGUGAUGCCGUUCAUGGCGGGAGGAUCGUGUCUUCACAUAUUGAAAGCCGCGCAUCCUGAUGGAUUCGAGGAGGUUGUUAUUGCAACCGUGCUUAGGGAUGUGCUCAAGGGUUUGGAGUAUCUUCACAACCAUGGUCACAUUCACAGGGAUGUUAAGGCUGGCAACAUUCUCAUCGGUUCGCGCGGCUCGAUUAAGCUCGGGGAUUUUGGUGUAUCUGCUUGCCUUUUUGAUUCCGGUGACCGGCAGCGGUCCAGGAAUACGUUCGUCGGAACGCCUUGCUGGAUGGCACCCGAGGUCAUGGAGCAAUUGCACGGUUAUAACUUCAAAGCUGACAUCUGGUCAUUUGGUAUAACUGCAUUGGAGCUUGCACAUGGUCAUGCUCCUUUCUCCAAGUUUCCACCAUUGAAGGUAUUGCUUAUGACUUUGCAAAAUGCACCCCCUGGCCUUGACUAUGAAAGAGAUAGGAAGUUCUCUAAGUCUUUCAAGCAGAUGAUUGCUAGUUGCUUAGUAAAAGAUCCUUCAAAGCGACCCUCUGCAAGCAAGUUGUUAAAGCAUUCCUUCUUUAAGCAGGCUCGCUCCAAUGAUUUUAUUGGACGGACACUUUUGGAGGGGCUACCUGCUUUAGGUGACCGCAUGCAGCUCCUAAAGAGAAAAGAAGAAGAUAUGCUUGCACAAAAGAAAAUGCCUGAUGGGGAGAUGGAGGAAUUAUCACAGAAUGAAUACAAACGAGGAAUUAGUGGGUGGAACUUCAAUCUUGAAGAUAUGAAGGCUCAGGCUUCCUUGAUCCAUGAUUUUGACGAUGCUAUGUCAGACAUCAAUCAUGUGGGAAGUGCAUCUUCUUUAGCUACACUUGAUGCACAAGAUAAGGAAUUGCCAAGUGCAAACCAUAUGGAAGAAAAUGAAAUGCAAAAUCAAUCAGCUUCUGUUCCAGCAGUUGAUUCUUCUGUAAAUGAUGCCAAGUCAAGGUUAGAAAAAUCUGAUGAUGACUCUAGCAUCACCAGUUCAAGCCAUGAACCGCAAACAUAUUCUUCCUGUCUUGAUGAUCAAGUGGACAAUAAUUUGGGUGAAAAAUCUGAAAUAGAAAAUGGUGGAAGAUUCUUGGAGAGCAUGGCAACCCAUUCUUAUCAUAGAAGAGGAUGUUCAUCAAGCAUCUUACCUGAAGUUACUCUUCCACCUAUUCGAGCAGAAUGUGAGAAGCCACAGAAUCUGCUGCAGAACAUUUCAAUUCCACAAUCAGGAGAGGAUGUGCUUACUGAACUUCCUUCUAGAGCCUCCAAAACUUCAGCUACUUCUGAUGACACUGAUGAGAAAUCUAAGAUACCGGUUGUUCAACAGAGAGGACGUUUUAAGGUUACAUCUGAGAAUGUUGAGCCAGAAAAGGUUGCUCCUUCUCCUGUGCUGCAAAAGAGUCACAGCAUGCAGGUUUUUACCCAGCAUACUGCUACUCCUCUACAAUCAAAUUUACCUUUGUUAUCAGCAUCUGAUGCUUCAUCAUCAAAUCUUUCUGGCUGUUCUCUGUUCCCCAUGUUGCAAUCUGUGUUGCAGACAAAUAUUAUUCAAAGGGAGAGCAUUCUAAGUUUAAUGAAACAAAUUACUGUGGGUGACUCUACAGGUUCAACCGCUUUCUCUGAUGGCGCAAGUAACACAGCACCAGUAGCAGGGAUUGAGAAAUCUUUGGAAACAUUGGUUAUGCAUUACUGCAGCUUGAAGCAGCUCACGAUAGGGAGAAAGAGUUACUUCAUGAGAUAACUGAACUGCAGUGGAGGCUCUUAUGUACCCAGGAUGAGCUUCAAAAAUUAAAAACAGAAAACGCCCAGGUGUGAUUGUCUUUUUGGAAUCGACACUUGGAUUUGGAUUUCAGAAGUGAUUCCGUUGUUGAAUGCUUGGAUUUCUCAAAUUUAAAUUCUUCAUGGACACCUAAAACAUUUAGGUGCAAGAAGAGAGGAGAAUUUUAACCAGUACUAAUUCAUUGACUAGAUACGGAGUGGUUUGCUACUUGUAGUUUCUUAUAGGUGAUAAUAACUUUGUCAUAGUUCUCCUGUUAGUGCAGAUUCAUUGUUGAUAAUCAUUUUGUAAAUUAUUUUAGCGUUAUUUCCUCCUUGUAAAUUAUGACGCACGUGGAACUUUCUGAACCUAUCUAUACCCACGCUUAGAUUCAUUUAAUUCAACCAGAUACUAUAUUCUUUAGGGUAUAA